rnacentral:rRNA from 1 species
GACAGAGGUGCCGAGCGUUAGGCGGAAUCACUGGGCUUAAAGCGUGUGUAGGCGGAUUUGUAAGUACCUUGUGAAAUCCCACGGCUCAACCGUGGAACUGCUCGGUAUACUGCUUAUCUUGAGCCACUUAGGGCAGUCGGAACAGAUGGUGGAGCGGUGAAAUGCGUAGAUAUCAUCUGGAACGCCAAAGGUGAAAACAGACUGCUGGGAGUGAUGCUGACGUGAGACACGAAAGCUAGGGGAGCGAACGGGAUUAGAACUUACCCGUAGU